GACAGAGGGUGCAAACGUUGUUCGGAAUUACUGGGCGUAAAGCGCGUGUAGGCGGCUAUGCAAGUCGGGUGUGAAAUCCCCAGGCUUAACCUGGGAACUGCAUUCGAGACUGCAUUGCUAGAGUAUGGGAGAGGGAAGUGGAAUUUCCGGUGUAGCGGUGAAAUGCGUAGAUAUCGUAAGGAAGACCAGUGGCGAAGGCGGGUCUCUGGACAGUUCCUGACGCUGAGGCACGAAGGUCAGGGGAGCAAACGGG
rnacentral:rRNA from 1 species